AUACGUAGGGUGCGAGCGUUGUCCGGAAUUACUGGGCGUAAAGAGCUCGUAGGUGGUUUGUCGCGUCGUCUGUGAAAUUCCGGGGCUUAACUCCGGGCGUGCAGGCGAUACGGGCAUAACUUGAGUACUGUAGGGGAGACUGGAAUUCCUGGUGUAGCGGUGAAAUGCGCAGAUAUCAGGAGGAACACCGGGGGCGAAGGCGGGUCGCUGGGCAGUAACUGACGCUGAGGAGCGAAAGCAUGGGUAGCGAACAGGAUUAGAUACCCUGGUAGUCCAUGCCGUAAACGGUGGGCGCUAGGUGUAGGGGUCUUCCACGACUUCUGUGCCGUAGCUAACGCAUUAAGCGCCCCGCCUGGGGAGUACGGCCGCAAGGCUAAAACUCAAAGGAAUUGACGGGG
rnacentral:rRNA from 1 species